AAGAAAAUAAUUUUGAUUCUAUAUUGCAAAUUAAAAUAAAGAAUACCUUAUCUUAUAAUAUCCCUUAAUAUAGAAAUGAGUUUUGAAAUCUAAUAAAUAAAAUUGUCGCAUCACAGUGUACGUUAUUGAAAUCUUCCGAAACAGCUCGAACGAUGGUCAUAAAAUUUUAGUGCAAAUUGUGUGGGUCUGAGAAUCGGACAACAUCUAUUUUUCAUACCCCCAUAUUUUUAUUUCUUAGAACUCUUUUGUAUGGUAAAACAACAUGUCUUCAAUAUUCGACUAUAUUUCUAACAAAGUUUGGUGCAGCAGCGGAUUUGGUUUCCUCCCGGGCAAAUACUAACCGAAGUGGUUGUUUCAGAUGGGUGCCAGAAGUGGAAGCGGUGGCACCAGGCCGUCGUGGUCACCGAGCCUGUGGGAGCCGUCUCCAGGACUUGGUGAAGUACAGCCACCACAUUCACGAGGUAUACUCCACAACGAAGAAGAAGAAAUCGGGUAAAUUCCGCUUCUAGUUGCAAGAGAAAUAAAGGUAAGGUGAUUAUAUUAUUUUUUCGUCAAAACCUUUAUCGAAAAUCCCUGUUGGUACUUAUAUGUGGCGAUAAAGAUAAUCUGCUUGUAGUGUGUACUGUUUGUAUAUUUGUACCUUAUCUUGUUCUCCUGUCCGCUGUUGAUGUUGUUCGUCUAAGUAGUAAAUAGAUGUCGAGUACUUAGUUGACUUAUUCUAAAUCAAUUUUCCAAGUGACUGUGAAGAAUGUUGUAGCAUAUCGACUUGUGGUAAGUAUUUAUUUCGAGCGCAGGGAACUCAAACUAUUCCCCUGUUUCAGAAUGUCACGUGUGUGAUGUAAGUCGCUCAUCCCGACCGACAUGUAAGGGACGUCCACGGCUUAGGCUCACACGUCUUCGGUUUUGUUUUGCGUAUCUGAUUAGCUACUAUAAAGGUUUUACUAACCCGCACCGUGUUUGAUUUCUGCUAGCUCUUUUUGUAACCGCUACAAAAUAACAUAUAAUUUGAUUCUGAAUGUUGUGCGUGUUUGGUUUCAUUUCCUAUGCAGCUCACUUCAGAUGGAUAUAUAAUGGGAAGUAUGAACAUGCGCAUGUAAGUAGUCUUAGUUCCUUAAUGUUCCACCAACAAAAUGAACACCAUUACACCCGAGCUGAAGAAAAAAGAAAUGUUAAUGUUUUCUUUUUCCUUCAACUUAUUAUAAGAAAGUUGUUUUACUUUAGAUCUGUAUGGUUGUUAAGUAGUGGGUUAAGUGGUAGCUAGUAAGGCAUGCAGGAAAUGAUACAGAAUGCAUUACUCUAGGUUCAGUUAUUCGUCACCCUUCUGGCCACGUGAUGUGCAAUCGAAGUUUACGCAGACUGUUGAGGAAGUUAAAGAUAGAGGAGAGAGAACGUCGGCUCCGGGAGCGGAUGGACAAGGGCGAGCCCACCACAUGGGCCGAGUUCGUGGCAGUGUUAACCCGCCUGGCCCCGCCGGGUACAUUCUUUAGAAAGCUGCCACUGUUGGCUCCUGAGGAGCCUCCUCCCAUACCACCACCCAUAGUGCUAUCUCCCACGGAAACACCUUCCAGAGUACCAUCACCCGUAAUAUUAGUGCCCGAUGACCCGUCCCCCACGGCGUCACCUUCCACGUUGCCGCCUCCCAUAAUAGAACUACCCUCAGACCCAUUCCUCAGGGGGUCACCUCCCACGUUGCUGCCUCCCAUAAUAGAAAUACCCUUAGACCCAACACCCACUGGGUCACCUCUCACGGAGCCACCACCAGACAGCUCACGUGAGUAAGUUCUUAAGCUAGAGUGUUAAAUACGAGUCAUUCAUAUUAUUAUUAUCUAAAUAACCUUUGUCCACUUACUAAUCGAUAGCAGUAAUAAACCAUGGCAUCAUGUAUGGGCCAUAUACAUAUACCAGAACCAGAUUUGCUAAUGGAAUUCACUUGCAGCUAGUACAAAUGUCACCUGACUUUAGUUUCUAUAAUGGCAAUUUCUGUCGAUAACUGAUAAUUAUAAUUAAAUUAUACGAUGAGUACGCCAAGUGUCAAACCAACAGUACGAGAGGGAUUCAAUUCUUUUAUUAAAGUAAAUUUGACUGGUUCACAAUAAUUAUUAAAAAAUGCCAAAUUUAGUGGGUAUUUAGUCGUAGGGAAAAUGUUCUCUCUAAGCUUAUUGUAUGUUUAAUCUAGAUAAUAUAAAAAUAAUAUAAUGCAAACUCAUGUAAUAAACUAGUAAUAACAGAUAAGAUAGGUCUCUUUGAGUACGAGGUGACCCCCGCCCCCCUCCCCGCACCCCGCACCCUGCUGGACCCCGCGGGCCCCGCGCAGCCACUCCGCCUGCCACCGCUGCAAGACAUCUCGAGGAAGCACACGUGAUAUCCUCAGGUACAAUCAGCAACAAUAGCCCGAGAACAAAUUCAGAUUUGCCCAUCACCAAAACAAACCGGGAUAUCAAAAUUUAUGUGAAUUAUGUAAUUUUAUGAAAGGAAACUCAGUCUUAUGAAAGGAUUCUGAACAUCGUGGGACCUCGUAAAUCUGUGUUUGUUCAUUGACUUUUGUUGCUGACUGUACAUAUUGCGCUAUUUAUAAUCACAUCAGUUUUAACUCACUCGUUGCUAUUGCUUUCAAAGUCUAAUUUUCUAAUUUUUAGUCAAAAUUAUUUUGUAUAAAUUUUAAAAUCACUUUUGAACUCUGUGCUUAAUUGAUAAAAAUAAUCCAUUUUCAUUAAUGAAAUGUAAAAUAUUUUAAUAUUUCAUAAAAAUGUGAACUCAAUGUACAGUCAAUAUGACGGGGUGAAUAGGACUCGCGGGUUGAUCAAACUCAGAUAAGGAAAUAAUGAACAAGAAAACCAUUUAAUUCUAUUCGUAAAUCAUGUAAAUAAAUAGUUAACAAAAGUUGUGUUUGCCCGCGAGUCCAAUUCACUCCUUGUAGUGAUUUAAUUUCAGGAUGAAAAGACAGCUAUCACCUCAGGUGUUAUCUGAGGGGCAGCAGCUGACCGGGGCUCGGCCUGGGCAGUCUAAACAAGUCCCAUCUUGUGGCGACGACUGCGGCUUCACGGUGCGGAGGGCAGCGCCGCCCGGCAGCGAACUGUACAGAGCCCUGCUUACUGGAUGUGUACUAGAACAGACGCACUUUCGCCACUCGCACCGGACACCAACACUUAGAAGAUGAACAAGAUAUAACAGCUUUGGCAAGCAGUUAUCGAGCUUCGCGGUAACAGCGACACUGAUGACGUCAUCCGUGCCAUAUCCACACCGCGCGUCCCGCUUGCGAGGAGAACCUUCAACCAACUACAGCCAGGUAUGAGGUGUAAGCUGUGGGGGGGGGGUGCCUGCAACCGACGCCGCGCUCCGCUGCAGCGCGAAGACACAUUCGGAGAACUCCAGAAUGGGAUUGUGUGGAAGUCGUCGGUGUUCGCAAGGAGUUAGUUUUGCUUGAGCGGCGUCCGCUGUGAAACCUGUGCGAAUUUGUAAGAUGCGGUGCGAUCCGGAUUAAAAAGGAGCCGACGGCUUACUAGGUGGAGGAGGUGUGUGGGGUUGCCUGUGACCGGCGCCGCACUCCACAGCAGUAAGAACAGACAUUCGGAAAACUGCAGAAAGGAGCUGUGAGGAAUCCAGCGCUGUUCGCCAUGAGUCAGUUUCGUGACGAUCUCUGGAAUGGCAUAUCUCGAAUGUUACGAAUUGCUGUGCGAUCCCGAUCUAAAUGCGCGGCAGACUACUAACAGUAUGUCUUCAGUGUUCCUGCCAUGGUUUCCCAGCGUUGGCCUGCACGCCGUGUCAACGGGCAUCAGUCGCCCGCUUAAACCACAAUUGCAUCCUCCAUACGUUUUUGGCGCGGACUUAAUACUGCAAACAAAAACAUUUUGUUAUCAAGUGCUUAUGAUCAACGUUUCGUUCUUUUUGUACUUGGCAUAUUGCUUGUAAUUUAGCCCCGGUCUUGAAAGACUGUUCAACUUGGUGCCAUCUUUGGGAUCCAGCCGGCCUAACUGACUUCUUUGCCAGCCAACACAGUACUCCAUAGUAAACUAGUUGGCAGAAUUGUAUAAUUUAACAAAUAUAACUGAAAGCAAUUUCAGAAUUUUUUAGAGUUAUAAAAAAAGACCGAUGUUGACUGUCAUGGAUAACAGUUUCAACUUAAAAUCCAAGCCAAAAAGUAGCCCUACUUUACAAAAGGUCACCCGCACAAACCGCGGUGAGAGAAGCUUAACAUGAAAAACUUGGCUCUCUCAAAGUUCAGAUAUUUGACUAAAUUAAUUAAAAACAGCGAUAUUCAUGUCGAUUUGUCUUCAUGAGGCCGGGGUCAAUAAUAUCAUAUUGGAACUUGUAUUUGUUUUCAAAAAUUAGUGCGAAACAGACCAGAAAAUGUUUGACAGAAAGCGCUGACCAAAACCAUGUCGAAAAUAGUUUUUGAAACAAUGAUAAUUUUUUAAUAAGAAGUGCCCCAAUUUCGACUCAAAAUUCUUAACUUGAAAGAACCACCAUUAAGUAAUGGGGCUCAAAUUAAAUUAAUACAACAUUGUAUAUCAAUAGAAUUAAAACUCAAAACCCUCUGUUUCAAAGCAGUUCAUUUGAAGUAUUAAUGGGGCACGAAUAAGUGUUUGCUAUACAAUUAGACUUAAAUAUUUGUAAUGUUUGUCCCGAUGUAGAUUGCAAACUCAUUGUUUUAACGCAAUUUCGGGAGUCAGUGAUAAAAAAGGAACAAAGUGUAGAGCGUAUAUAUUAUAACACUAAUCUAGGCAGAUCAGAAAACAAGUUUCUCAACUUCACAUAUUUCUUGAAAAAAUCAGUAAUAUACGCUUAUAUUCUUUGUUUCUGGCGCUGACAUUAAUGAAUGUACUCUGGCGGUCGUUCUAAGAUAUUUUGUAAUACCAUCUUUUGUCUAUGCAUUUUUCUGGUCUCUAAGAUGUAUAAAAUUGGAUGUACGGUCAGUCACAGCAAGUCUGGCAAAAAAAGUAAUAACUGUUUUUAUUCCAAAGUAGUUUCCAACCAUGCUGGUACAGACGAAAAUAAAUUUAUCAAAUUGCUGACGGCUGUACCUAUACAACAGGUCAUGCUAUGACCUUUAUUGAAAUGCUAAUGUAAACCCUCAAAAGUUAUCACUCUAAACUGAUUUUAAUGAAACUUAGUACAAAAAGCUUGAAUCACAAGAAUGGGGAAAGGUUACUUUUGUCGCGAUACCAUACAAAGCAAUAUCCACGCAGGUAGAACCGUGAGCCAAUUUAGUUUAUUAACAACUAAUUCAGUAAUACUUUGAGAAUAAAAAAAACUGCAUAAAUUCUCAAUUCGUCAAACUUGUAAGACGAUCUUAGAAUUACUCGAUCAGAUACAGCCGCAUGUAAAGACGACACCUACAUUAGUGGAGAUUUAAAAGUUCUAAAUGUCUCCACAUUCCACCAGCUAAUGACAAAGGGCACAUUUUAUCUUUGCAUACCUUAAUACGGCUGUUCUUGUCCUGCAAAUACGAUUCCAGUGUUAGUGUUGCCAUGUAGCGAGUCUUCAAUAUUCUUGGGAUAAGGAUCGGUUCACAUCAUGUGUGUCGGAUGAGAUUUUAACUCAAGCUUUCACUUCUUCUCCUUCUGGGUCUUUCAGACCAGGGAUGAUAGAUGAAUAUGAUAUUCUCUUGUACACUGUAGGUAGGGACUGUUAGGGUAACACUAUUGUAACAUCCUUGGCUCUGACUGCGGAGCCGCUAGACUAUCGAAACAAGAUCGCGAAUACGGAUGGGAACAAAAUAGCUCGGUUAUGUGUUUUAUUACGUAGGGUCUGACGAAAUUGUUGAUAAAAACGUUCCUUAUAACAUGACAAACGCAUUUGGUGAUCUGUUUGGUAAUGUAUAAUGUUUAUGGUAAAUUACGGUUUUAACAGGUAACCGAGGUAAAAUUGUUCCCAACUGUUUCGUGUUUUCAAAAGUGCUCAACGGGUAAACAUGGUUUGCUUGUGCUGUGUUGUUGAAAGUGGUUUAUCGGUUAUUGGUUAUCGAGGUAAACUUGUGUCCUACAUGUGUCCAUUCUGGUAUACGUAUCAAACAUUGCAAUAGCAGGUUGUUUCCUGGUAAAAACAAGAGGUAAGCAACCGAAGUGAAGGUGUUCUCAUCUGUAUUCGUUGCGAUGGUGAAUAAUCAUACGAUACGUGUGAUAUUGUCGCGGUAGCCCAGCGGCUCACCAGAGGGGAUGGGAUCGGAGGGCCGGGGUUCGAAAAACAGCUGAUGCACUAUUGAUGUGAAUGUUUUCUUAAUUUAAGACUUAUUUAAGCUUUGGUUCAUGCGUAACGAAAACACUUGAUGGAACAUAGUAUUUGUAGUAAUCUUUUGUAAUUUUAAAUUGAAUAGUCUUUAAAUGUUGUAGAAUUUCUGGCUUCGGCCUCUUCCUCAUAACAGAACAGAACAUUGUGUUCUUAACAUAGUAGCGAUCUCUCGGUUUCACUUGCCUGGUUUCGUCUCAAAGACUCGUUAAAGUCAAGCUUAAUAGCCUGAUGAAACCGUUCUUUACAUUUGAGCUGACAAAUACUAAGAUUUUCUUAAACCUCACUAUUACCCACAUUAACUAGCGACACAAGUGACGUUAAAUCCCCAAAUUUACUCAGGGACAUACUCAGGGUACAGUCGUUUGUUCACAAAGUGUAACUUUCAGGGAAUACAUUAAAGGUUUUGUGGCUUGUAUGUAUAUAUAUAUAUUAUUAUAUAUAUAUAUUUCUAGCUUCUAGUUAAUUUUAAUUGUAUUGUAAAUUGUUUCUCGUCAUUCGCUGUGAUAAUUUGUAUUAACUUACUACUGAUAUGGAGUUGUGUAGUCUCUUUAAAUUAAGUUGUAAUUUGUUGCCCUUCAGGCAAGAAUAGACCUUAAGACGUAGGCAGUAGGUACUUAGUGGUUUGAAGUGAUUGUCCCACGGCUGGGUAUAGUUAAGAGAUCCCAUAUUAUUGCUAUAAUAUGCGUAGUUAUAGGAUUUUAGAACGUAUAUUCCAUUUUGAUAUAUUUUAGUACUUAUAUUAUUAUUCUAAUUUUAUAACUACAAGAUUUUUGUCAGUCUUAAAAAACAGUAGAUUUGUAGUUCAUAUAUUCAUAUUUUGUGACUUUAGACCGUAGUUGAUAGGAUUAAUAAGAUUCUAGAUUUAUAUUCCAGUUUGCGAGUAGCGUAAGCAAGUAGAUAAUGUACAAUCUUAAGCCAAGUGCCGCGAUUUCGUUGAUAUUUUGUAAGUCAACAAAUCGUGGGCACUUGCAAUAGAUUUACACUCAAGGCGACAGAUGUGGAAGAUCAUUAACUCUGAUAUAAGCUGCGUGAAUGUACUGUAAGCUAAAGGUGCGUGACUCUGUACUGCAACUGACUUUUACUAACUACUUCAAUCAGUCUGAGCAAGAGGGAAACAUUUAUUUGUAUAACUUCACUUACUUAUUCUCAUAUUGGUAAAAAUGAUAUGUAAUUAACCUGCAGGUGUUUUGUUAAUGACCUGCGGAGGUAAUUAGGCAGACUAGGGAAAACUUUGUCUUUAUAUAACUUUUUCUAAGAAACUGUACUCUGCAUCCUUGUACUCUGUAAGCUAACUGUUAAGACAUGUAUUAUUGUGUAGUCUUUUUCUUGUACUGAUGUAACGUUUUGGAUCAAUAAAUCUGGUGUUUGGCCAGCGUCGUAGUGUUUUUAUUUUGCUCCCCGGCCCCUGCCUUAUCCUGUCAUAAUGCUGUGAUAAUAUUUUAAGGUGACCACGCCAAAUCCUCGGAAUUAUUACUAUUCCUUCUACAUAACUUUUUGGCUUGCUAUGCGACUAUAUUUCCCACAAACCAGUACGUGCUUUUCACAUCCAAACACUUCGCCACAAGGGCAUACGCGCUAGGUUCCAGCUCGGCUAGAUCUCGUCGGAACUGAGAAGGAACUUUGAGUGAAGGCCGCGCUGAGCACUGGCGCAGAUGUCGAGCGCGCCGACUCCACCUGAUCUCUGGGGCCGAGAGGCACUCGGAGUGAUGGCGCUGGAGUGACGCGAGGACGAGGACUGAGCGAGUGACAGUACGCACUGGUUUCUUAGAGGUAUGCUCGCCUGGCCAGCCUUCAAGUUAUGUGCAAAGAUGAGUAACAAUCCCGAGAAUUUCGGCAUGUCACUUAGAAAAUUAUAAAAGUCUUGUCAUGGAAUACGGUGGGGUUGAGGGCCAAAAUAAAAACACUACGUAAGGUCAAAUUCAAACUUUUGUUAAUUUUGACCUUUUUUCGUCAAUGUGUCAAAAAUAAUAAAGUAUUUCGUAUAUA